rnacentral:tmRNA from 1 species
UCUCUUUCAUAUUCGCGCGUCCUUGCCUAUAUUGGUUAGGCUGGCUUGCCAGCUAUGGUGAUAAACGGCGCGUGGAAUAAACGUUGUGGACCCGGGGGCAGUACCCGGCAUCUCCAUUUAGUUUUGACCCGCCUGACUCAGACUACGCGGCUUUGCCGCUUCGUCAUCAGGGCGGUUACAGCUUGUGCGGGGAUGAAACAGGCUCGACACGCGUGGUAAAGACCCGUCUUUUGCCCGGCAUUGUACCGCCGUUAUCGGGCUAUAUUAUAAAUGCGAACGAUAACAACGUAGCAUUCGCGGUCGCUGCCUAAACAGCAGCUAAGCGCGGUCCGGGGGGUACCGGGCAACAGAAACCCCCCACU